CCUCCCGAUCCCCAUCCUCUCGUCCACAACCCUAGCCCCUUCCCCUCGAUCCUCAUGGCCCAUCCCUCCUCCUUGCUCGUCACUGCCGCUACCUGCUGCUCCCUCUCCACCAUCGUGCCUGCUUAUUGAUCACAAUAUCCCCUCUACCUGAUUGAGAUCGGGCGUAGGUUAGGCGAGCCCGAUGGUGGGUUGGGUGAGGCUAUAGGGAGAGGGAGGAGGCCGGCGGCGUGGUGAAGGAGUUGACUUGCCCUCGUGGAGGCGGCGCCAUCGGCCAGGGACGGCAUUUGCUCGUCGGACGAUGUCCGAGCUCGUCUCACCCUCACAGCGACGACCAACAACUCAAGUGAAGGGUGAGGGGCCAUCAAGAUCUAGCCCAGGGCAUGCUCCCUGGCGCCCGCACAUAGAGGACUGGCCGCUGGUCGCCGGCUGGUCCUCCUCUUCUCUCCUCGUGCCACCGUCCUGCACCUCCUCCAUCCCUCGAUUCAGCAAAGGCGAUGGAGAUCAAGAACCGGGGCGGCACACAUUGUCCUCCUAUUUCUCCUACCACCAACCCUAGAGAUGGCAGCGGCAAGGAGUUGAGCCAGGUGUCUCGAUGAGGUGGUCCAUGCUGAGGAAGAGGGCGUCCAUAUGUUCCUGUUCAUGGCCUUGUUGUGGUUGCACCAUGGUCCGUAGGGAACAAGAACACCACUACUACAACCCAAGUCUGGACAUGACAUCUCUAUGUGACUGCAUAUUUAAUUUGUACAUCUAUUUGGUUGCACACUACAUAUUUGGUCUUUUUUACAUUUAUUUUUGACUUCAUUUGCGGCUAGCUGACUGCAGCAUGCUUUACUGACUCAUCUAUGGACACACAAGUCAAGGAAAACCAUAUGAGUCUAUUUCGACUGCUUGCCACGGGAAAGUGCCCACUAGAUUCAUAUUUGCUUGAACCAUGAUCAUACCAUUAAAAUGUGUAACUAUGUAUGGAUCAACAAAGUUUACAUUUCGUGCAUUAAGCUGGUUAGGCCCCUUUCAGUGUUGUUCGACCAAUUAGACACUUGUUAUCCUAUCUAAAAUGGUAGUUCAGCUUUCAAUAAUUAGAUUAUAAAUUGGUGUAUGUUUAUUAUGCCUUGUCGUUUCUUUCCCCUUAUUCUUAACGAUUGAUUACCUUUGUUCCAAGAUCCUGUAGGCUGUAGCUGGCCUUCCUUUUGCUAGGAUUUUUUUCUUCCAAAUUUGAUAAUGUAACCUGCUAAAGCAUGAUCAACAGAUUUGUCUAACCAAUUAACAUCUCUCAUUAAUUGUGAGAACCAAGCCAAUGAAAAUGGGCAUGAAUCGGUCUUGUCAAAGUCUACUAUUCAGUGCUUGCAUAUGUUAGAUUGCUGAUGUUCACAAAACUGCAUGUACCUUUUGCCAACAAAAUUGUUGAUGAAUUGCAGAUUUAGAAAAUUAGUUUGGCAUAGCUCAAAACUAUUUUCCUUGACUCAAAUCAAGGUUGUUCGAUAUCAUGAAAUAAGCAACAUGCCUCUUGCGAAACCAUAUUUUAAAUUUGCAAUUUGGAAACUGGGUUUUUGUUUCUCGCGCCUUUUCUUUUAAAACAUCACCAGAACUUAGGGUCACAAUUAAUAGUAAGGUGCAAUCUCAGUCAUUUAGUGACAUACUUCAGUUCAGACUUUGCAGAGCCAGAGUUGUUUAUUAAUACUUUCCGUUACAAUGCCCGCAUCUGUAUACAUAAGUUCUUAUGUUUUUAGAACACUCUAGCUAGGCUUAACUAUUUCUGUUGACAAAUCACAUUCUUAUCUUAAAAUACAUCGAUGAUUACUGGAGUUCCAGAGAAACAUUCUUUUUAUUGUUUCCAGAGAUCAAGAUAUCGCGAACCAUUCAUGGGAUUCAAAGGGAUGUGCAACAUAUGUGGUGCCUUAUUCAAGCUAAGCCGGGUUAUUGAAGCGCCAUAUUAGUGUUUCUUAUUAUCUACCUUGAUGCCAUACUAAUUUCUGUGAUUCCAAAAUUGCUGGCACCACUUCCUAUUGCCUGUUGGUGCAAGGACCCACGCCUUCGAUAUGAGAAAUGUAAAGGAUGGAUCAAUUGGCAUUGCCAGGUCAUGUUUAGUUCUUUGUCUCUUAAACGACAUGCAUCUCUCAACACAAUACUAGGUUAAUGAACUGCUAAAGCUACAAUGUAGAUGCAUUGUGACUUUAUUUUCUAGGUACUAACUUCAGAUGUCCAAUUUGUUACCUGUACCAAUGUAUCCUCAGGAUAUUGACUUUACAUAAACAAUCUGCUGCAUACUAAUGUAUAUUUUUACACAA